rnacentral:lncRNA from 1 species
UCUUCUGAACCUGGAGCACAAAAGCGCGGGUUGGGUCGGGGCCCUAAUCAUGUGCCGAAGGCCCCGGCUAAUCCGGAUGAUCGCAUUCUUAUACAGAUACGUCCUCCUCCAGAAAGCACGUAAGUUAAACAUCGUGUAUAUAUAAGGGUUUAAUAUUUCCAUUAUUAUAAAUAUAUAUGACUGUAAAUUAUUGUAUAUUGUAGUGAUUUUCAAGAUAGUAAAAUUGUGAAGUGCAUUUCACAAUUAUGCUUACAGAACUGGCCUACGCCAGUGAUUACAUGGGCGAGCACACCUCUCGCCCAUAAGGAUGCAGUUUGGGCUGAAUUUCAGGUAUAUUUUUUUAUCACUCUGAUAGAUAAUACAUAGUUAAUCAAAUAAUAUUGUUUAGUAAUGUUGGAUUAUGGUAAUAUAAUAUAACCGUUUUAAUAUUAUUAUUGUUGUUUUAUUUGCAGAAGCGGUAUAGAUGGGAC